rnacentral:sRNA from 1 species
CCGGCCCUCUCAGGACGGGCGGGGCGUGACAGGCUUCUUGCCUCGUCCAGCGGGCCAGGGUCAUUGGGAUGGCUGCACUAGUGACCUGCGUGUCUCUUCCUUUCCACGCGCAUGUGCGUCUGCGUGUGUGUGAAAAGUGGGCAAGCAGUGGACGUGCUCCGUGUGCGACAAGAAGUACGUGACCGAGUACAUGCUGCAGAAGCACGUUCAGCUCACACACGACAAGGUGGAGGCGCAGAGCUGCCAGCUGUGCGGGACCAAGGUGUCCACCAGGGCCUCCAUGAGCCGACACAUGCGGCGCAAGCACCCCGAGGUGCUCGCGGUGAGGAUCGAUGACCUGGACCACCUCCCGGAGACCACCACCAUCGACGCCUCCUCCAUCGGCAUCGUCCAGCCUGAGCUGACUCUGGAGCAGGAGGAUUUGGCCGAAGGGAAGCACGGGAAAGCUGCCAAGCGAAGUCACAAGAGAAAGCAGAAGCCAGAAGAGGAGGCGGGUGCUCCGGUGCCCGAGGACGCCACCUUCAGCGAAUACUCAGAGAAAGAGACGGAGUUCACAGGCAGCGUAGGCGACGAGACCAAUUCCGCAGUACAGAGCAUUCAGCAGGUAGUGGUGACCCUGGGUGACCCAAAUGUGACCACACCAUCGAGCUCAGUCGGCCUGACCAACAUCACCGUGACCCCCAUCACCACUGCGGCCGCGACUCAGUUUACCAAUCUCCAGCCGGUGGCCGUGGGGCACCUUACCACCCCUGAACGCCAGUUACAGCUGGACAACUCAAUCCUGACCGUGACCUUUGAUACCGUCAGCGGCUCUGCCAUGUUGCACAAUCGCCAAAAUGACGUCCAGAUCCACCCCCAGCCGGAAGCCUCGAACCCACAGUCUGUGGCCCACUUCAUCAACCUGACGACCCUGGUCAACUCCAUCACGCCCCUGGGGAGCCAGCUUAGUGACCAGCACCCGCUCACAUGGCGGGCAGUGCCCCAGACUGACGUCUUGCCACCCCCGCAGCCGCAGGCACCCCCACAGCAGGCGGCCCAGCCCCAGGUGCAGGCGGAGCAGCAGCAGCAGAUGUACAGCUACUGAGCUGCGUUCCGGGAGACUCGGGGCAAGAACUGCAGAGGGAUGUUUGGGAUUUGUUUAGAUGUGUUUGCUGGAUACCAAACAAACAAAAAGUCAUACAUUGCAAUGUAAGGUUGACUUAGCUUUGCAGAGUAUCUCCAGAUCCCCCGCCAGCAACCAUUACGGUCUGUCAGCUUAACUCUAGAAGGGACCUCUGGCAGGCCAGAGUUUUAAACUGGAUGGGGCUCCACCCCAUGCCUUACCAAGGCAGAGUGGAGUCGGUUCUUAUACAACUAUGGGCUGAAACCAUACGUGAGGCGUGCUGAGCCGCACCUGAUCCUGCAACCUUCGAGGUCAUCACGGUCAUCAUGUGCAAGGGGUCACGUGAGGUCACUGACUCCGGCUCAAAAGGCAUCUUAGUAAUAUCCGUGAAUCGAUUUCCAAUAGAGUUUUUUUUCCUUUUUUUUUUUUUAACUUUAUUUCAAACAUACAUUAUGUGUUCAAGACUGUUAUGGCCAAUAUUGUGUUUUAGUUUUAUGUUAACAUGAUAAAGUCAUGUGCACUGUAGGACCAUCGGUCCCUGUCCACCCUUCACAGCUGCCCAGAUGCAGAGGGUUGCGCGGCUGUGUGUGAGGAGUGAGCCUCCCUGCUGCCCCCAGGGGCUCCUCCGGGUUGUCUCAGGAUUCUCUGCAAUCCAAAUGUAUCCAUUCUGGCUGAAGCCCAGCCAGAAUCCCGAGUGGAAGAAACGGGGGAAAAUUCAUAUUUUCCUUCUGUUUAAACUUCAAUUCCAAAGGUGCACAGAUGUAUUCAUAAAGGAAGACAUUAGAUCCAGCCAUUGUGGCCACCAGGCUCUGUGGACCCAUCUCAGUGGAGAAUUUGUUUUGGACCCGUGGCUCCGUGCAGCUGUGGACUUGAGUGCCAUCCACUGGUGUGAGUCUUGCGGGGAGGCCACAGGAAAACGUUCUGUGCCAAGUGCCGCCUCGCUGUGUCCGGCAUGGGACUGCGCUGGAGAGUCCGGCGUGGAAGGCAGACCUCCUGUACCUCUAUCGUUCCCAUUUGUGGCAUCCAAAGGCGGAAGGCUCAUGGCUUCCCCACUAGAGGCGGCGUCUUGGGCUUUCCCAUUGGAUUGUUUUAGGCAUUAAGACUGUUUGGAGAUGUUGGCUGUAUUUCCUGUCACAUCAGGUUGUAUGAUGAUGAAUAAAAGGUGCUGUGACCCGUGUUUUCAA